GACGAACGCUGGCGGCGUGCUUAACACAUGCAAGUCGAACGGAAAGGCCCUGCUUUUGUGGGGUGCUCGAGUGGCGAACGGGUGAGUAACACGUGAGUAACCUGCCCUUGACUUUGGGAUAACUUCAGGAAACUGGGGCUAAUACCGGAUAGGAGCUCCUGCUGCAUGGUGGGGGUUGGAAAGUUUCGGCGGUUGGGGAUGGACUCGCGGCUUAUCAGCUUGUUGGUGGGGUAGUGGCUUACCAAGGCUGUGACGGGUAGCCGGCCUGAGAGGGUGACCGGCCACAUUGGGACUGAGAUACGGCCCAGACUCCUACGGGAGGCAGCAGUGGGGAAUAUUGCACAAUGGGCGGAAGCCUGAUGCAGCAACGCCGCGGGCGGGAUGACGGCCUUCGGGUUGUAAACCGCUUUCGCCUGUGACGAAGCGUGAGUGACGGUAAUGGGUAAAGAAGCACCGGCUAACUACGUG
rnacentral:rRNA from 1 species